ACGGAAGGCAGCAGUGGGGAAUAUUGCACAAUGGAGGAAACUCUGAUGCAGCGACGCCGCGUGAGUGAAGAAGUAAUUCGUUAUGUAAAGCUCUAUCAGCAGGGAAGAUAGUGACGGUACCUGACUAAGAAGCUCCGGCUAAAUACGUGCCAGCAGCCGCGGUAAUACGUAUGGAGCAAGCGUUAUCCGGAUUUACUGGGUGUAAAGGGAGUGUAGGUGGCCAUGCAAGUCAGAAGUGAAAAUCCGGGGCUCAACCCCGGAACUGCUUUUGAAACUGUAAGGCUGGAGUGCAGGAGGGGUGAGUGGAAUUCCUAGUGUAGCGGUGAAAUGCGUAGAUAUUAGGAGGAACACCAGUGGCGAAGGCGGCUCACUGGACUGUAACUGACACUGAGGCUCGAAAGCGUGGGGAGCAAACAGGAUUAGAUACCCUGGUA
rnacentral:rRNA from 1 species